rnacentral:miRNA from 1 species
CUUGGGAUUGAAGAUUGAUCU